GACGAACGCUGGCGGCGUGCCUAAUACAUGCAAGUCGAACGCUGAAGCGAGGAGCUUGCUCUUCUUGGGUGAGUUGCGGACGGGUGAGUAACGCGUAGGUAACCUGCCUGGUAGCGGGGGAUAACUAUUGGAAACGAUAGCUAAUACCGCAUAAAAUUGUUUAUUGCAUGAUACUUAAUUGAAAGAUGCAACUGCAUCACUACCAGAUGGACCUGCGUUGUAUUAGCUAGUUGGUGAGGUAACGGCUCACCAAGGCGGGGGUGCAUAGCCGACCUGAGAGGGUGGACCGCCAACCUGGGACGGGGACCCGGCCCAGACUCCCUCGGGAAGGAGCAAGAGGGAAACUUUGGACAGGGGGGGAAACCUGAACGCACAACGCCGCGGGAGGGAAGAAGGGUGUCGGAUCGGAAAGCUCGGUUUUAAGGGAAGAAAGGGUGUGAGAGUGGAACGUUCACAGUGUGACGGUACCUGACCAGAAAGCGACGGCUAACUACGUG
rnacentral:rRNA from 1 species